GGAUUAGAUACCCUGGUAGUCCACGCCGUAAACGAUGUCGACUUGGAGGUUGUGCCCUUGAGGCGUGGCUUCCGGAGCUAACGCGUUAAGUCGACCGCCUGGGGAGUACGGCCGCAAGGUUAAAACUCAAAUGAAUUGACGGGGGCCCGCACAAGCGGUGGAGCAUGUGGUUUAAUUCGAUGCAACGCGAAGAACCUUACCUGGUCUUGACAUCCACGGAAGUUUUCAGAGAUGAGAAUGUGCCUUCGGGAACCGUGAGACAGGUGCUGCAUGGCUGUCGUCAGCUCGUGUUGUGAAAUGUUGGGUUAAGUCCCGCAACGAGCGCAACCCUUAUCCUUUGUUGCCAGCGGUCCGGCCGGGAACUCAAAGGAGACUGCCAGUGAUAAACUGGAGGAAGGUGGGGAUGACGUCAAGUCAUCAUGGCCCUUACGACCAGGGCUACACACGUGCUACAAUGGCGCAUACAAAGAGAAGCGACCUCGCGAGAGCAAGCGGACCUCAUAAAGUGCGUCGUAGUCCGGAUUGGAGUCUGCAACUCGACUCCAUGAAGUCGGAAUCGCUAGUAAUCGUGGAUCAGAAUGCCACGGUGAAUACGUUCCCGGGCCUUGUACACACCGCCCGUCACACCAUGGGAGUGGGUUGCAAAAGAAGUAGGUAGCUUAACCUUCGGGAGGGCGCUUACCACUUUGUGAUUCAUGACUGGGGUGAAGUCGUAACAAGGUAACCGUAGGGGAACCUGCGGUUG
rnacentral:rRNA from 1 species